AUACGUAGGGGGCGAGCGUUGUCCGGAAUGAUUGGGCGUAAAGGGCGCGUAGGCGGCCCGGUAAGUCUGGAGUGAAAGUCCUGUUUUUAAGAUGGGAAUUGCUUUGGAUACUGUCGGGCUUGAGUGCAGGAGAGGUAAGUGGAAUUCCCAGUGUAGCGGUGAAAUGCGUAGAGAUUGGGAGGAACACCAGUGGCGAAGGCGACUUACUGGACUGUAACUGACGCUGAGGCGCGAAAGUGUGGGGAGCAAACAGGAUUAGAUACCCUGGUAGUCCACGCCGUAAACGAUGAGUGCUAAGUGUUGGAGGGUUUCCGCCCUUCAGUGCUGCAGCUAACGCAUUAAGCACUCCGCCUGGGGAGUACGACCGCAAGGUUGAAACUCAAAUGAAUUGACGGGG
rnacentral:rRNA from 1 species